rnacentral:lncRNA from 1 species
GGUAGGUAAUGUUAAGACUCCAGCCGACUCUCCAACCAAAGACUUUCCUAGCUGCUUUGCCCUGCCUUGCCCUGUCUCAUCCUGCUCUGGAUAAUUGGGGGCUGGGGAUAUCUUGACGUUUGCCACAGAUCACUGGAAAGGGGUUGCAGCAGAGACCCAAUUCUUGGCGUUAAAUGAGUCUCCAGCCAGGUGUGAGGAGACUCCCAGAGAGGAGGAGGGGCCACGAGUGAUCCCAACUCCGCCGGGGCCCGCCCCCACCCCGAGCCACUCCCACCAGAAGGAGCACACAGAAGAUCAAAGACUACAGUUGCUGGAAUGUGAGCUGAGCAAGAAGAGAAAAGAAUGUGAAAACUUGGAACAUGAAGUUAGGAAGAGACAGAAGGGAUGUCUGGAUUUGGAGAGCCAGCUUGAGGAUGAGCGAGGUAAAAAUGGGCAUCUAGAGGAGGAGGCAGAUCUCCUCAGGAGGAAGGCACAGCUGCUCGACCAGGUCAGUCUCUAUUCAAAUCUUUUAUAUUCUAUGCCAUUCUAUUC